rnacentral:misc_RNA from 1 species
UAGGCCACUGAGAAGGUUGG